GCCCUCAGCGGUUUUGUUUCACUUGUUGGUCUCCUGUUAACUAUUGAUGUUAAGGAUAAAAACAGAGCAAUUACAAGCGCCUACCUCAAAAAGUAAAAAACAAUAACAAGGAAUUAUAGUUUCAGGAUUCAAACCAACUGUUUGUAAUUUGUAUAGCAUUUAUUACAUUGUAUUAACUCAUCUCUUAGCGCAUACGUGUGUAGAGGAGCUGGGUUACAGAGUGAUCGAUCAGGACCCAGCUCUCCAAACUAGGGCAGUGGAGCUGGAGAAUAACCGUGGACGAGAUGGAGGACCGGGAGACCUUCGACGGUCGAGGAGGGCCUCAAGACUUGAUCAGCUCCUCGUUCAACCAGGACACCACGUCUCUAUCAGUGGGCACUAAGUCAGGCUACAGACUCUUCUCUGUCACCUCGGUGGACAAGAUGGACUGCAUCCAUGAAGGAGCGGAGUCUCCAGACGUGUACAUCGUGGAGCGGUUGUUCUCCAGCAGUCUGGUGGUGAUGGUCAGUCUCUCCAUGCCCCGACGUAUGAACAUCUACCACUUCAAGAGAGGAACAGAGAUCUGCAACUAUAGCUACUCCAACAACAUCCUCUCAGUCAGGCUCAACAGACAGAGGAUGGUAGUGUGUCUGGAGGAGUCAGUCUACAUCCACAACAUCAAAGACAUGAAGCUGCUCAAGACACUGCUCAACAUACCACACAACCCCUCAGGUACUGAAUACACACAUAAGCACACACACACACACGAUGCGUACCCUCAACUAUGCUCCGUUUUUAAACACAGACACACCCUCCAACCCGUCAGGUCUCUGUGCCCUCUCUGUGAACCAUGGUAACUCCUACCUGGCGUACCCUGGCAGUCAGACCAUCGGGGAGAUCAUGGUUUAUGACGCCAACAACCUGAGCACGGUGACGAUGAUCCCAGCCCAUGACAGUCCCCUUGCAGCUCUCGCAUUCAACGUGUCAGGAACCAAACUGGCCAGCGCCUCCGAGAGGGGAUGCUGGCCCAUGUUGACUACAAUGCUUCCCACAGUUGUGUCAAGUUCGCUGGAUGUCCUUUGGGUGGUGGACCAUUCUUGAUACACACAGGAAACUGUUGAGCAUGAAAAACCCAGCAGCGUUGCAGUUCUUGACACAAACCGGGUACAGUGAUCCGAGUGUUCACCAUCCCAGAGGGACAAAGACUGUUUGAGUUCCGCAGAGGGAUGAAGAGGUACGUGAGUAUCAGCUCAUUGUCCUUUAGUUCAGACGCCCAGUUCCUCUGUGCCUCCAGCAACACCGAAACGGUCCAUAUCUUCAAACUGGAACGUCACAGCCCCAGUCGAGAGGGGGGAUGUCCUACGUGGGGUGCAUACGUGGGAAAGAUGUUCACAGCAGCCAGCACCUACCUUCCCUCCCAGGUCUCUGACAUGAUGCACCAGGACCGGGCCUUCGCCACUGUACGACUUAACAUGUUCGGUCUCAAGAACAUCUGCGCCUUGGCCACGAUUCAGAAGCUGCCUCGUCUGCUGGUGGCGUCAUCAGAUGGACAUAUCUACAUCUAUAACAUCGACACACAGGAGGGAGGAGAGUGUGUGUUGGUCAGGAAACAUAGGUGAAUAAGUGUAUGAACCUCAGGGUUGGGGUCAAUUCCAUUUAAAUUCCAGUAAUUUCAGGAAGUACACCGAAAUUCCCAUUUAAUUUCUCUUCAUUGCUUUUCAAUCAGAAAUUUGGUUUACUUUCUGAAUUGACUGGAAUUUAAAUAGAAUAUACCCCAACCCUGGUGUGUGUGGAAGCAUGUGUGUAUUUGCUCUCAGGCUCUUUUUGUUUUCUCCAGACUAUUUGAAGGAGAUAAGGAGCCACAGGAAGAACAACAGGAAGAGGAGGAGCUUGAGGAUAGAAGGUCCCUCCCACCGUCAAACAGCCCAUCAUACGCUGCCACUGUGGCUCUCCCCUCGACCCCACCCUCUUCUACCACUCUCACAGGCUACUUAGAUGGAGGGGCUAAGAAAGGUAAUGUGAUCCCUGAACAUGAGUUUACCAAGGGACCCGUCUGUCUGGAUGACAAGAACGAGUUUCCUCCAGUCAACAACCAGAGCAACUGACCCAACUUUUCCCGGGAACCAAUCAACUGGAGCCAUUCAAGCUAGAAGGGAUAUCAGUAUUCAGAGAACUCCCCCCCAGGUCCCACCCCCAUGUCCCCAAUGAGGCAAUCAGAUGGGAUAAAUGUAGAAGCCACAAUGGUGAUUGGUUACUAUCAUGCGCCACUCAGAAGUAGAGUAUGGAUAGACAGUAGACCUGUCUCUGUACAUUGUCUUAUACCUGGCCCUGAAGGUCAAUAUGAAUACAAACAUUUCAUUCCCUAACUGUCAGAAGGAAAGGAGGUCUGGGCACUAAAGUUGUAGCCUACCUCUAGUCUAAUAUUAACCAAUAUUAACAUGGUUAAAAAGGGACUUUAAUAUUUAAUUGCAUUCAUAUACAGAUAUCGAUAAGUGUUCAAAGUGCUUAACAUUGUCAAAAGGGGAAGAGGCAAAACCAUUCAAUUGUACUUUUAUAACCUCUUAGUAUCGUUAAGUGAUAUAUAACACUGACUGGAUAGUGAAGUCUGAGUCCUAUUCUGCUGCUUGAUGCAGAUUGGCUAGAACCCUGUGUAGGGUGGCAGAGAGGGGCCCAGAGACUGAGGCUUAUCAGUGGGCUCUAGCUGUGGCACGCCCUGAGAGAGAAGGGGGAGGGAAGAGAAAGAAAGAGGGGGGGCUUCUAUCAUGUCUGAAGCGAUAGUUUUCGAACAGCGCUAAAGAAAAAAGAGUCUGAAAUGUGAAAAACUGAAUAGAGAACUGUAUUAUAGGAUCGUACAGGUCCUUUUAUUUAAUUGAUUUCAUUAUUAACACCAUUGACUACAUAAUAUUGAAUAUUGUAACAUUUCAGACAUGACAGAUCUUUUUACUUUGUAAAAAAACUAUGUUGACUUGUAUUAAAUACUCUUUUGGAAAAUGAAA